rnacentral:rRNA from 1 species
UAGGGAAUCUUCCACAAUGGACGAAAGUCUGAUGGAGCAACGCCGCGUGAGUGAAGAAGGGUUUUCGGCUCGUAAAACUCUGUUGUUAAAGAAGAACAUAUCUGAGAGUAACUGUUCAGGUAUUGACGGUAUUUAACCAGAAAGCCACGGCUAACUACGUGCCUG